rnacentral:rRNA from 1 species
GAGUGAACGCUGGCGGUAGGCCUAACCCAUGCAAGUCGAACGGCAGCCCAGUAAGAGCUUGCUCUUACGGGUGGCGAGUGGCGGACGGGUGAGGAAUACAUCGGAAUCUACUUUUUCGUGGGGGAUAACGUAGGGAAACUUACGCUAAUACCGCAUACGACUUACGGGUGAAAGCAGGGGAUCUUCGGACCUUGCGCGAUUGAAUGAGCCGAUGUCGGAUUAGCUAGUUGGCGGGGUAAAGGCCCACCAAGGCGACGAUCCGUAGCUGGUCUGAGAGGAUGAUCAGCCACACUGGAACUGAGACACGGUCCAGACUCCUACGGGAGGCAGCAGUGGGGAAUAUUGGACAAUGGGCGCAAGCCUGAUCCAGCCAUACCGCGUGGGUGAAGAAGGCCUUCGGGUUGUAAAGCCCUUUUGUUGGGAAAGAAAAGCAGCAGGUUAAUACCCCGCUGUUCUGACGGUACCCAAAGAAUAAGCACCGGCUAACUUCGUG